UACGUAGGGUGCAAGCGUUAAUCGGAAUUACUGGGCGUAAAGCGUGCGCAGGCGGUUGUGCAAGACAGAUGUGAAAUCCCCGGGCUCAACCCGGGAACUGCGUCCGAUACUGGUAGGCUUGAAUCCGGGAGAGGGAUGCGGAAUUCCAGGUGUAGCGGUGAAAUGCGUAGAUAUCUGGAGGAACACCGGUGGCGAAGGCGGCAUCCUGGACCGGCAUUGACGCUGAGGCGCGAAAGCGUGGGGAGCAAACAGG
rnacentral:rRNA from 1 species